ACUUAGCCUAUACACUAUGUUGGAGAGAAGACGCUUGCUACCUAGGCAUAAUGUGAAAUUAGGUAUAAACAUCGUGGUUGUAAAACUUGAGGUGGAUUUUUAGUACGUAUGCGUGAUUACUUCGUAAUCAUGAAUCGUGCAUGCUAGUUGGGUUUGGCCUCCACUAGUAUCUUUGAAGAAUUUCCUUCCUCAGCGAUC
rfam:Drosophila pseudoobscura pseudoobscura strain MV2-25 unplaced genomic scaffold Tnknown_singleton_2130, whole genome shotgun sequence.